GACGAACGCUGGCGGCGUGCCUAAUACAUGCAAGUCGAACGCAGUGGGGACGGGUGAGUAACACGUGGGUAACCUGCCAUCAGAGGGGAUAACACUUGGAAACAGGCGCUAAAAUGAUAUUGAUGUAGGGACCCGGUGGGCAUUAGCUAGUGGGUGAGGUAACGGCGCACCAAGGCCACGAUGAAUAGCUGACCUGAGAGGGUGAUCGGCCACACUGGUACUGAGACACGGCCCAGACUCCUACGGGAGGCAGCAGUAGGGAAUCUUCGGCAAUGGACGAAAGUCUGACCGAGCAACGCCGCGUGAGUGAAGAAGGUUUUCGGAUCGUAAAGCUCUGUUGUUAGAGAAGCGGUAUCUAACCAUAAAGCAACGGCUAACUACGUGCCAGCAGCCGCGGUAAUUC
rnacentral:rRNA from 1 species